GGGCAUUCCUCCUGCGGGCUGUGACAGUCAGCGAUUGCCUCGCCCCGGGGCUGAGGUCCUGGAGGAGCCCUGCAAGUAUAUAUGACCAGGAAGCCAGAUCUGCACUCGGAACUGUCCCCCAGGUCCCUCUGAGCCCUGGCCGGGCAGAUCCCCCCAAGUGAACACAGUCCUGCUUCCCCACUGUGAGCCUGGGGUCGACGGCAGGCCAGGUCACAAUUCAGCAGGUCACAGCAGGUCACUGCUCCCCUUCUUGGUGUUUGUCCCUUUUCUGUCCACUCCAGUGCCUCUUCCUGUCAGGGUCACCCAAGCACUCUUACUAGUUCCUGCGUUUAAUUUUUAUCUUUGCCUUAUCCAGCUCUGGAAAUAGGGACUUUUCUCAGCUCAUUGACUCUCAUUUUACCUUCUGCUGGUUGGGAGUCAGGAGGACCCCAUGGGUGGGGAGCUGAGGGCACCAGGGAGAGGGAACAGAGGGGCUCAAUUCCUCCCUUUCAGGGUCAUUUGGAGGGAGAAAACAAGAAGAAAUCUGCUGCUGGGGUGGUGGUUCCACCUCCUUGCUGGAGCCCACCCAUGUGCCCACUGGGGAAGCAGGACCACUCUGCUCCUCUGACCUCACAUCCUACCCCUGGAAGGACUUGUGAUCACGGAGUGUGGCGGGUUCCAAGAUAUCAGUGGCUGAGUGUUUGCCAAGGAGCCGGAGACCACCCCUCAACCCAGAGCAGCCUAAUUCACCUUCUUUGGUUCUACAGUCAAAAUCAUUUCUGUGACCAAACUCGAGACCUCUCCGUCCUCCCACGUCUUACUGGUCGUAAGGGAUCAGGUGGAGAGCGUGUAUUUGAAUAAAUCGAGUGAGUACUGACAACCAUCUCAGCCAAUUCCUCAAAAAAAAAAAAAAAAAAUGCUAUUUGCGGAGGGACACGGUGCAUUCUGGGGGAAACCUGGAGGCGUUUGCUGCCACCACGAUGGGCUAACCGCUGAAGAGCUCCUGAGCAUCAGCACUGACCCCACACGAGCUGAUUUUCUCCCUCAUGUGACAUUACGCUCCGCCAUCUUGGACACCUGCCUUCCAAGCACGUGGGGGGAAGAGCUGGAGCAUUCUGUGUAGGGGCUCCCCAGGGACUAGUCCUAACAGUGGUGACCAGCACCCCCACUCACACUCCAGACUGCAAGGGAGGCUGCAGGCUGGUCCGACUAUGCACAG
rnacentral:lncRNA from 1 species